GAUGAACGCUGGCGGCGUGCCUAAUACAUGCAAGUCGAGCGAACAGACGAGGAGCUUGCUCCUCUGACGUUAGCGGCGGACGGGUGAGUAACACGUGGAUAACCUACCUAUAAGACUGGGAUAACUUCGGGAAACCGGAGCUAAUACCGGAUAAUAUAUUGAACCGCAUGGUUCAAUAGUGAAAGACGGUUUUGCUGUCACUUAUAGAUGGAUCCGCGCCGCAUUAGCUAGUUGGUAAGGUAACGGCUUACCAAGGCAACGAUGCGUAGCCGACCUGAGAGGGUGAUCGGCCACACUGGAACUGAGACACGGUCCAGACUCCUACGGGAGGCAGCAGUAGGGAAUCUUCCGCAAUGGGCGCAAGCCUGACGGAGCAACGCCGCGUGAGUGAUGAAGGUCUUCGGAUCGUAAAACUCUGUUAUUAGGGAAGAACAAAUGUGUAAGUAACUAUGCACGUCUUGACGGUACCUAAUCAGAAAGCCACGGCUAACUACGUG
rnacentral:rRNA from 1 species